GCGCCGUCCACGCCAUCCGGGGCGCAAUUUGUUUUUUUUCCUGGUUUGGCGAUCGGCAGCAUCGGCUGUACGCGAUUUCCACCCGAGAGACGAGCCUUUUUUCUGCGCCGGAUCGCCUCUUUCUGUGUCUCUUGUUUGGUUGUCAAACAAAAACCCUAGGCCACCCAGAAAAAAGGCAGGCCAUUUUUUUCGGUUGCACGGCAGAGGCGCGCAUGCCAUUGCCCCAACCCGAUCGCAGGGUACACGGUUGCGCCGUAAUGUCUGGUUUUAUUGCCCAAAGAUGGGCGGCCGCGCAAUGGGUCUAGCACCCGCCGGCGAGGAGCAGGCCCUCCUGGGUCAACCAUGCGACCACGACCGACUUGAGGCGGUCGAGGUUGGUUUCGCUCGACGUUGGAUCUUUCAUCUGCUCGGGCGUCGGAGGGGUCCAUCCGGGAAAGACGCGCGCCAGCAACACGGGCCGCGGACGACACCAACGAGCCAGCGGCGCGAGCGAGGCCACGAGGCGCGCAUUCUCGCACGAUCCGGGAUCGUCGUCGACGCGCCGACGCUUUGACGCCGUCGAGCCAUUGCGGUGCCGCCACUGGGGGUCGCCGACGCACGAGCACGGCACGGCCAUCUCUCUGUUGUAGGCGCCAUCGAGGAGCGCAACAUUGGCGGCACGCGGCGGUACGCCCAACGACACGGCGUGUGCCAGGCGCAUGACGGCCAACAUGGGCGCGUAGGCAAAGUGGCCGCCGUCCCGAGCGCACAGCGUCGCAAGAGCGUCCCACAAGUCGCACGGACGGUCCCACAAGUCGCCGCGUCCGCCGCCGGCAUCGAGCACGGCCAAAAGGCUCGCCAGAUCGCGCAGACUGCGAUUGGAAACACAAAGCCGAAACAUGCUUUCGACGCCACCCGGCCCGCGGGCAUUGAGAAAGGCCCGCGGCCAACGGCGGCCAGCAUAGAGCGCCACUGCCGGCCACAAUGGCGUAUGGACGCUGUCGCCGGCGCCAUCGACACAUUGGGCCAGAUCGUCGUACGAGCCACCGUCCAGACAGGUCUCGCAUAGCCAGGCCACCAUGGCGACCGUGGUGUGCGGCGCCGCGGAGGCGCUGCCCAGUGCGUUGGCGAUGGCACCGCGCGCGUCCAGUGGCGCUCUCCUAGAGGUGGGUUCUUUUUGCGCGCGCGCCCACAACCACUGCGCGAGGCUCAGGCGACCGCGGCCCGUGGCCAAGGCAAACGCGGCAGCGGCGUCAAAGGCUAUGCCACGCGCGUCCAAGAGGGCCAGCAGACGCCACCGGCCCUUGAGGACCGCCGCAUGCAGCCAACCCCUGGGCGCGUCGAGCGUCGCCGGCGGCAUCGGGUUCAGGUGGCCGGUCGCGACCAGGUCCAAGAGACGCGCAAAGCAACGCGGGUCGGCGGCCUCUGCAGCGGCCGUCCAGCAUUCGACGCCAAAUGGCCAACGCGUCACUGCGCGGUCAUCGAUGAGAUCGGCCCGCCCGUGCCGGCACGCUGCCGUGAGGGUGGCUUUGAUACACAAGACGUCGAUAUCGGCCACGGUGGCGGUGCACGCGCGUUGGAUAGCCACGUCCCAUAGGACGUCGAGGAGGCCUCGGGCGUCGCCGCGGGUGUCGUCGUCCCACGCGUCGUAUUCCCCCGCCUGGCGGCUUAUGUGGAGAUCGCCGCCCGAAUCGCUAAAUGUGCACUCGGCGUCAAGCGCGCGGCGUACGGCCCAGCGUUCUCCCGAGGCCACCAUGGCGGCCAAGACCUGCUUGCGCGUGGCCGCUGCCAUGUCCGUGCACCAUCUGAAAAUCGAGUCGGUGUCGCCCGGCGCCCAGCGCCCGCCGGCGAUCAGGUCGGCGACGGCCGACGCACAGACCACCCUGCCCGUGGGCCACUUGGGACAGCCGGCGGGUGCCUCUCGAUGGACGACCGUGGGGCGCUUGUGCGGAUGGGCGCCCAUGGCGGCAGCCUCGGACGCGCUCGGUUGUGUGACGAUUUCGGCCCACAGGCGGCACACGGCGCGCGCGGCAAAGCGCCAGCGCGGGUCGAGGAACGGGCGACCGGGCCGAGGCCGCGCCGAUCGCCACGCCGGUCUCGGCUCUGAUGACGCCGCUCCAUUGAGCACCAUGCGCAACAGUUCGGCCGGCAGGUCGUUGAUCGCGAGCGCGCCUUCCAUUCCCGCCCUUUGUUUGGUCUGUUUUUUUGUGCUCUCUAAUCGAGAAAAAGCGCGAGGGCCACGAAAUCUGCCGCCGGUUGCCUUUUGUGCGCGCACGGACCCGCCUUGGCCUUGGCGGCGUUCACACGGCACACGCGCAAAAUGCACAAGACCCCAAAGAGAAAAGACAGCGAGACAGACAAGGGCCAAUCGCGGCCUCGCCGGCACGGUGACCGGCAACAAAAGGCCGAGAGAAAAAAAGGGCAGGCGCGCGCAGGGGCAGACACGCACAACGGACAGACCGAUUGUUUUUCCCUCUUUUUUUUCCAUAUUUUUCCAUAUUUUUUAUAAGAUAUAUUUUCUUUUUCUUUUUUUUUCCUAAAAACACAGGGCGCCGACAAUGGCGUGCGACGGGGUUGGGGUGCGAAACAAAAAGGCGUUGGUGCGUCGGCGUCGCGCGCGGCCGGCCGAUGCUGCCGUCGGGUGUGCGGUCCGUUCUGUCGCGGCCUCAGACGUGGCCGGGAUGGGAGCGAUGGCGCGCAGGUUGCAGCGAAUCGGCAGCGAGGUCGGGGACGAUCGGCCGCAAGGCGAGGGGCAAUUUUCGGUGGAUGGAGACGUCGGCAUGGUGCACGUGCGGGUGUACAAGAGGCAGCACAAAGGAACAGGGUGGAGGUCAGAGGUCGAGCGAGCGAUAGAGCACUAAAAAAAGACGAGAUGCAGCAGAUCGCGCCCUUUUCCAGGCCAGCCCGGCGGCGCAGAAAACACCGGCGUCCAAUAAAUCGUGGCUCCUUUUUUUAGUCGAC
rnacentral:lncRNA from 1 species